rnacentral:rRNA from 1 species
GAUGAACGCUGGCGGCGUGCCUAAUACAUGCAAGUCGAGCGAACAGAUGAGGAGCUUGCUCCUCUGACGUUAGCGGCGGACGGGUGAGUAACACGUGGAUAACCUACCUAUAAGACUGGGAUAACUUCGGGAAACCGGAGCUAAUACCGGAUAAUAUAUUGAACCGCAUGGUUCAAUAGUGAAAGACGGUUUUGCUGUCACUUAUAGAUGGAUCCGCGCCGCAUUAGCUAGUUGGUAAGGUAACGGCUUACCAAGGCAACGAUGCGUAGCCGAUCUGAGAGGGUGAUCGGCCACACUGGAACUGAGACACGGUCCAGACUCCUACGGGAGGCAGCAGUAGGGAAUCUUCCGCAAUGGGCGAAAGCCUGACGGAGCAACGCCGCGUGAUUGAUGAAGGUCUUCGGAUCGUAAAACUCUGUUAUUAGGGAAGAACAAAUGUGUAAGUAACUAUGCACGUCUUGACGGUACCUAAUCAGAAAGCCACGGCUAACUACGUG